AUUGAACGCUAGCGGAAUGCUUUACACAUGCAAGUCGAACGGCAGCACGGACUUCGGUCUGGUGGCGAGUGGCGAACAGGUGAGUAAUGUAUCGGAACGUGCCCAGUCGUGGGGGAUAACGUAGUGAAAAUUACGCUAAUACCGCAUACGAUCUAUGGCUGAAAGCGGGGGAUCGCAAGACCUUGCGCGAUUGGAGCGGCCGAUAUCAGAUUAGGUAGUUGGUGGGGUAAAGGCCCACCAAGCCAACGAUCUGUAGCUGGUCUGAGAGGACGACCAGCCACACUGGAACUGAGACACGGUCCAGACUCCUACGGGAGGCAGCAGUGGGGAAUUUUGGACAAUGGGCGAAAGCCUGAUCCAGCCAUUCCGCGUGCAGGAUGAAGGCCCUCGGGUUGUAAACUGCUUUUGUACAGAACGAAAAGGUUUCUACUAAUACUAGGAGCUCAUGACGGUACUGUAAGAAUAAGCACCGGCUAACUACGUGCCAGCAGCCGCCGUAA
rnacentral:rRNA from 1 species